rnacentral:rRNA from 1 species
GCAAGUCGAACGAAUCCUUCGGGAUGAGUGGCGGACGGGUGAGUAACGCGUGAGUAUCUGCCCUAAGGUGGGGGACAACAGUUGGAAACGACUGCUAAUACCCCAUAUGCCGAGAGGUGAAAGGUUUACUGCCUUAGGAUGAGCUCGCGUCUGAUUAGCUAGAUGGUGGGGUAACGGCUUACCAUGGCGACGAUCAGUAGCUGGUCUGAGAGGAUGAUC